UACGUAGGGGGCUAGCGUUGUCCGGAUUUAUUGGGCGUAAAGAGCGUGUAGGCGGCUAGACAGGUCCGUUGUGAAAACUCGAGGCUCAACCUCGAGAUGUCGAUGGAAACCGUCUGGCUAGAGUCCGGAAGAGGAGUGUGGAAUUCCUGGUGUAGCGGUGAAAUGCGCAGAUAUCAGGAAGAACACCUAUGGCGAAGGCAGCACUCUGGGACGGUACUGACGCUGAGAAGCGAAAGCAUGGGGAGCGAACAGG
rnacentral:rRNA from 1 species